ACAGUGCCUGGAACAUAGCGGGAACCUAAUAAAUGUUUACUGACUGACUCAAUGACUAACUACAGGGGUUUGGGAAAGACCUCUUGCAGAAUGUGAGACUUUAUCCAAGACUGGAAGGAAGCUAAGGAAGCUAGAAGGUGGAGAAAACAAGGGAGAGAGUUUCAGGAAUUAAGGGCAACAUCUUCUAGGGAAAUCCACUUUCCCAGCUCCUUGGAAAAUGAAUUGGCCUGGGGAGAGGCUUGAAGCAGAGGACAUUGUUUCAAUAAUCAAGCACUCUUUCACCUUUGAGAUGACAAAAUAUCACCUUAUUGACCACUGAGCAGGAAGAGCAUGUGUAUGACUUGUUGGACUUUUGAAGCAAGAGUGACUCCAUGUACCUCGAACUCUUCCUUUGACUAGUGUAUGACAAGUAGUGCUCUCUUUCACUAUUAUAAUGAUGAUGAUAAUGAUGAUGAUGAUGAUGGUGAUGAUGAUGAUGAUGAUGGAGAAGGAAGAG